rnacentral:tmRNA from 1 species
GGGGGUGUACUGGUUUCGACGGGGGUGUGGAGGCAGGAAUAGCGGGCGGAUGCGCCUACCAUCCAUAAAAUGGGCAACUUAUAAAUUAAAGAACAACAACAAUCCUGUUGCUCUCGCUGCCUAAGCAGUGAGCGUCUCACCCGGGAGGACCACGGCCCGGGAGGAGGCGUCGACGAGUGGUGCCCGUGCGUGCGCAAAGCUUUGAGCGCACCAUGAAUCAUGAAGCUACCAAGCCCCUGAGCGUGACGGCUCGCGCCCGGGCAAGGGAACGCAAAUAACCGUCUGCGCCCGGAGAAGUUCCUGUUCAAGCGCUUUCGGACGGGGGUUCGAUUCCCCCCACCUCCACCA